rnacentral:rRNA from 1 species
GUUNUNAUCCUGGCUCAGAUUGAACGCUGGCGGCAGGCUUAACACAUGCAAGUCGAGCGGAAACGAGAAUAGCUUGCUAUUCGGCGUCGAGCGGCGGACGGGUGAGUAAUGCUUGGGAAUAUGCCUUUGAGUGGGGGACAACAGUUGGAAACGACUGCUAAUACCGCAUAACGUCUACGGACCAAAGGGGGGGACGCUUCGGCACCUCUCGCUCAUUGAUUAGCCCAAGUGAGAUUAGCUAGUUGGUAAGGUAAUGGCUUACCAAGGCGACGAUCUCUAGCUGGUUUGAGAGGAUGAUCAGCCACACUGGGACUGAGACACGGCCCAGACUCCUACGGGAGGCAGCAGUGGGGAAUAUUGCACAAUGGGCGAAAGCCUGAUGCAGCCAUGCCGCGUGUGUGAAGAAGGCCUUCGGGUUGUAAAGCACUUUCAGCGAGGAGGAAAGGUUAGUAGUUAAUAGCUGCUAGCUGUGACGUUACUCGCAGAAGAAGCACCGGCUAACUACGG